UCUAGUAAUGCGUCAACUCAUAAGAAGUCACUUUUUUUCAGUUUAAAUCUCUUUGUUUCCUUUAACGUCCUAUUUUAAGAUCCAUCUCAGUGCUGAGCCUACCCAAUGUUAUCAGUUUCUAGCACAAGAGCCCACAAUCAGUUCAACCAAAUAGUUGAUCCUUUUUGGUUUCAAGCAUUGCUUUGUCUUCCACAUACUGGCUUUGACUUCUCAGUGAUAAAUCAGCGGGGUUCCCUUCCUCUUUGCUGGACAGGUCCAAACCUGUGUCCAUUAGGACAGAGGAGCCACUGGAAGAUGACGCUGAGGCCUCUAUUGCGGAGGUGGUGCUGGUAUCCAUUCGGCUGUUGUUAACCAUCCUUACAAUGAAGAGGGAGCAAAAGUGCAGCUGCAAGGCCUGGUCACUGGAGCAUGUGAAGGUGCAUUUGUGGCAACGGAACACCAGGCCCUGAAGGUGACGUGACAGCUUGGAGCGGCUGACCUCCAGUGGACCCACACGCUCCUCUGGUGGAGGAGGAGGAGAAAGUGAAGUGGAUUAUUAGGUUGGAGAAAUGGAAGGCAAUGGAAAUAAUGGCAGAGCAGGGUAGAGGGAAAGAAGAGCAGCGAGAGAUAACGACAGAACAAUUUUAUAUACAAAAGAAAGAUAGUCCCAUAUUAAAACUAGCAAAAACACCCCCCAAAAGGUGUUACUGACUUACCGCAUCAGUUCCAUCCCUCUGUGCUUGCUUGUAUUCAAAGUGUCUAGUGUUACCUUUCAGUUCUUAUGACUGUUCUAAUACACUGUAUGCAAUGCCUUCAUUAUUCAAUAAAUGAAUAGCUCCACUUGUA